rnacentral:pre_miRNA from 1 species
UCCACAGCGGCCGACAAUUUCCGAGUUUGGUCACUCACUAUAAAAUUGUUGAUUAAGUAUAGUGAGUGGCCAAACUCGGAAAUUGUCGGCCGCUGUGGAAAC